CGGGAACUGUCCGGAGCUUGCUUCGGACGGUUUCAGUGGCGGACGGGUGAGUAACGCGUGAGGAACCUGCCUUUCAGAGGGGGAUAACGUCCGGAAACGGACGCUAAUACCGCAUGACAUUCCGGUAUCACAUGGUAUUGGGAUCAAAGGAGUAAUCCACUGUAAGAUGGACUCGCGUCCGAUUAGCCAGUUGGCGGGGUAAAGGCCCACCAAAGCGACGAUCGGUAGCCGGACUGAGAGGUUGAACGGCCACAUUGGGACUGAGACACGGCCCAGACUCCUACGGGAGGCAGCAGUGGGGGAUAUUGCACAAUGGAGGAAACUCUGAUGCAGCAACGCCGCGUGAGGGAAGAAGGUUUUCGGAUUGUAAACCUCUGUCCCCGGGGACGAUAAUGACGGUACCCGGGGAGGAAGCUCCGGCUAACUACGUGCCAGCAGCCGCGGUAAUACGUAGGGAGCGAGCGUUGUCCGGAUUUUACUGGGUGUAAAGGGGUGCGUAGGCGGCAAGUGCAAGUCAGGUGUGAAAACUAUGGGCUUAACUCAUAGAUUGCACUUGAAACUGUGUUGCUUGAGUGAAGUAGA
rnacentral:rRNA from 1 species